CACCAUAAUAAUGCUACAAUCAUUGACGUUUAUAUGGAGCUUUAAGUUGUGCACUUACCUAUCCUGGUAAUGCAUGAAGUUAAUAUGACUGACUUGGAGCUUUCCAUAUUCUCAUCUGCUUUCUGUGCAUUGAAUGCUCUCAGAAGAGCCCCAUGGAGAAGUCUGUAUGUGUGGCUAUUCAGAAAUGAAGAGGUUUUCUAAAGGGUAAGGCCAGACCAUCACCUGUAUCCCAGGAUCCUUGGAUGGAAGGCAAGAAUUCUUAAUAACCCAGUACAAAAUCUCCAUAGAGCCUGGCUGAUGGACAACGCUUGGUUACCAGAUGGGAAACUUGGCCUGAGUAGGGCAGGGAUCUGACCCAUACAUGUUCCCCUUAAUGGAUCAGAGAUACUGGUCAAAUGUCACUUGCUUUGCCAAGAGGAAAAAAAAAUGUUAGAAUGCUUCAUCAUUCAUCAAUACAAAACUGUGGAAUUGUAGAAUCUUGGAGAUGAGCAGAAAUUCUUUAACAACAUUCCUGAAAA
rnacentral:lncRNA from 1 species